UGUAAAAAAUUUCUGUAAAUUUACAUGGAAAUUCAACAGCAAAAUGCUGUUUUCGUGUAAUAACAGUAAGUUGCUGUUUUUUACAGUGCAUUGUGGGUAGACUUUCUCACUUCAGGUCGGUUGUCGAGCAACAACAGAAUGUCACUGUUAUUUAACGGUAUUAUAGCAUAUUUUUCGUUGUGCACGCCAUUUUGGAUUGUCUGCAUGAGGUAGGUCUGCAACUUUAUCGGUGCUUGUGCUAUUUUAAAAUUACAUAUUACUUUUAAAUAUUGCAUUUUAUUCGGUAAAGCUUUUAAAAAAUAAAUCAGAUUCCAUUUCCUAUUUUAAUCAGGCAAAGCAGGUAUUCUACCAUCACAUCAGUUACACUUACAUCAGAUCACAGGUAUAUUUUGGUGCUAUUUUGGUCCCUAUUCCCUUUUCGUGCAUUGUAUAGACCAACAAAUAUUACAGAUUAAGAUGUCUGCCACUCCUGCUGACUUUGAGAAGACUAGUAACUUGUAACACCUCGUUUGAUCCUGUUUGGUGAUUCUCAGGGACAAUGGAUUAAACAAUGGAUGAUCAGCCUGAAAGCCAAAAGGGUGUUCAGCCAACGUGUCUCACUGGACUUGCUGCAUUGUUUUCUUUGUAUUACAUCUUCAACUU